rfam:Triticum urartu cultivar G1812 contig469309, whole genome shotgun sequence.
CUAGUACUCUCUCCGUCCAAAAAUACUUGCCAUGAAAAAGAAAUAAAAAAGAUGUAUCUAGAUGUAUUUUAGUCUAAAUACAUUCUUUUUAAUUCAUUUUAAUAACAAGUAUUUUCAGACGGAGGGAAUAUAUG